AAGGAUCAUUAUCGAAUAAACAUUUGAUAGGCUGUUGCUGGCCCUUCUAGGGUAGUGUGCACGCUUGUCAUUUAUUUUUCCACCUGUGCACCACCUAGUCUCUCUAGGUUCUAUGUUACUCACAUACUCCUACGAAUGUAAUAGAAUGUUGAUCUGGGUCUUUGAUGCCCAUAAAGUUAUAUACAACUUUCAGCAAUGGAUCUCUUGGCUCUCGCAUCGAUGAAGAACGCAGCCUCUACUUGACCAGGAAGUAAAAGUCGUAACAAGGCACCGAUGAAGAACGCAGCGUAGCCAGCAUCGAUGUGGAAGUAAAAGUCGUAACAAG
rnacentral:misc_RNA from 1 species